AUUAAACGCUGGCGGCAUGCCUUACACAUGCAAGUCGAACGGCAGCACGGGGGGAACCCUGGUGGCGAGUGGCGAACGGGUGAGUAAAGCAUCGGAACGUGCCCUGGAGUGGGGGAUAACGUAGCGAAAGUUACGCUAAUACCGCAUAUUCUGUGAGCAGGAAAGCAGGGGAUCGCAAGACCUUGCGCUCUGGGAGCGGCCGAUGUCGGAUUAGCUAGUUGGUGGGGUAAAGGCCUACCAAGGCGACGAUCCGUAGCGGGUCUGAGAGGAUGAUCCGCCACACUGGGACUGAGACACGGCCCAGACUCCUACGGGAGGCAGCAGUAGGGAAUCUUGCGCAAUGGGCGAAAGCCUGACGCAGCCAUGCCGCGUGAAUGAUGAAGGUCUUAGGAUUGUAAAAUUCUUUCACCGGGGACGAUAAUGACGGUACCCGGAGAAGAAGCCCCGGCUAACUUCGUGCCAGCAGCCGCGGUAAU
rnacentral:rRNA from 1 species